CAGCCGCCGCGGUAAUACGAAGGGUGCAAGCGUUACUCGGAAUUACUGGGCGUAAAGCGUGCGUAGGUGGUGGUUUAAGUCCGUUGUGAAAGCCCUGGGCUCAACCUGGGAAUUGCAGUGGACACUGGGUCACUAGAGUGUGGUAGAGGAUAGUGGAAUUUCCGGUGUAGCAGUGAAAUGCGUAGAGAUCGGAAGGAACAUCUGUGGCGAAGGCGACUAUCUGGGCCAACACUGACACUGAGGCACGAAAGCGUGGGGAGCAAACAGGAUUAGAUACCCGGGUAGUCCCUGUCUCUUAUAC
rnacentral:rRNA from 1 species